AACCAGCACCUCAAGUGGUCAGGAUGAUUAUUGGGCCUAAAGCAUCCGUAGCCUGUUAUGUAAGUUUUCGGUUAAAUCUAUGCGCUCAACGUAUAGGCUGCCGAAAAUACUGCAUGACUAGGGAGUGGGAGAGGUAGACGGUACUCGGUAGGAAGGGGUAAAAUGUUGUAAUCCUGCAGGGACCACCAGUGGCGAAGGCGUCUAAUCAUAACGGCUCUGACGGUGAGGAACGAAACCCUGGGGCGCAAACGGG
rnacentral:rRNA from 1 species